UAUAAGUUGGUCCAACUCAGGUUUAUUCCACGCACACUUCCUCCCUUUAAAUGGAGCGUCAAUUCCACGCGCGUCACUCAAACGAUUACGCUUCGAAAAAAUCGCUCGUUAUGGCUCACUCUUCCUCUUCUCCUUCAAAGAUAACACAAAUCCUCAAGUUUCGAGCAACAUUCUAAAUUGAAGAGACAUUCGAACUCGUCGCGAAUAAUAGCAGAAACCAUCAACAAAAUAUUAUUCAAGUAAAAAUGGAAGGCAAAAACCAAGCUGGAAAAAAUCAAAUCAAGAACCUAAAGUUUGCAACCCAUCUGUUGAGUGAGAAAUUCAGAAAUAUGAGCGAGGAAAAGUGAUGCAAUAAGACUGUCCAGGCCAUCCUCAUUGUUAUUGAGUCCAUUUUGUCAGAUAGAUUCUAAUGAUAU